UUUAUUAAAAGUCUGGCCUGCUCCCUGAGGUAUUUAAUAGCCGCAGUAUUUUGACUGUGCGAAGGUAGCAUAAUAAUUAGUUUCUUUAUUGGGAACUGGAAUGAAUGGUCGGACGAGAUAGUUUCUGUCUCCCCCUUAUUUAUAUGAAUUUUACUUUUGAGUUAAAAGGCUCAAAUUUAUUUAAAAGACGAGAAGACCCUAUAGAGUUUUAUUGUUGUAUUUGUAAGGUUUUGGUAUUUAGACUUUCAAUGUUAGAAACAAUUUAGUUGGGGUGACUGGAAAAUUGAUUGAACUUUUCCUUUAUUUUUACAUUUAUUUAUGAUUAUAUGAUCCACGGAUUGUGAUUAUAAGAUAUAAUUACCUUAGGGAUAACAGCGUAAUUUUUCUUGAGAGUUCAAAUCGAAAGAAGAGUUUGCG
rnacentral:rRNA from 1 species